UACGUAGGGUGCAAGCGUUGUCCGGAAUUAUUGGGCGUAAAGAGCUCGUAGGUGGUUCGUAACGUCGGGUGUGAAAAUCUGGGGCUCAACCCCAGACCUGCAUUCGAUACGGGCGAACUAGAGUGUGGUAGGGGAGACUGGAAUUCCUGGUGUAGCGGUGAAAUGCGCAGAUAUCAGGAGGAACACCGAUGGCGAAGGCAGGUCUCUGGGCCAUUACUGACGCUGAGGAGCGAAAGCGUGGGGAGCGAACAGG
rnacentral:rRNA from 1 species